rnacentral:lncRNA from 1 species
UUCCCAGUCAGAUUCGUUUCCACUGCACCACGACAGGAACUCUGCAUUGGCCCUUCUGGCAUUAUAAAAUGCCCCGCUUUAUCUCUAGUUGCAUUUUUUUGUUUUAAAUCUAUUGUUUGAUAUCAUUACAGCCACUCCAGAUUUCUCUUGAGGCACAGUUCAUUUUCCUUCAUUUUUUUUCCCUCUUCUUUGGAUUUCACAAUCUCUAUUGACCUUUUUUUUUUUUUUUUUUUUUUUUUUUAUCUUUUUGUCUUCUUCUGGGGCUGUACCCACAGCAUAUGGAGGUUCCCAGGAGUUCCUGUCCUGGUGCAGUGGAAACGAAUCCAACUAGGAACCAGGAGGUUGUGGGUUCAAUCCCUGGCCUCACUCAGUGGGUUAAGGAUCCAGCGUUGCCAUGAGCUGUGGUAUAGGUCACAGACGAGGCUCAGAUCCAGCAUUGCUGCAGUUGUGGCAUAGGCCAGCAGCUAUAGCUCCACUUUGACCCCUAGCCUGGGAACUUCCAUAUGCCAUGGGUGUAGCCCUAAAAAGACAAAAGACACACACACACAAAAAAACCAAAUAAAAUAAAAUGUGUUUUUACCAUCUUUAGCAUCCACCUCUGUUCGUCUUUGAUAAUCCUUACACUGAUAUUCCAGAAUUAAAACACUAUAUAACAAUUUUUUAAACAUUGCAAGUCAUAUGUAGUUUCUAAGCCCACAAAUCACAGAAUAAAAGAGUUUAAAAUUGCCAAAUGUGUUACUAGAGUAUCACCUACAUUACUAGCUUAUUACAUAAACUAUUACAUACAAUUUCAUUUCCUUCCAAACCUCCAUUUCUUACCCCUUCUCACAAAGGCCUGUGAUUUUUAAAUCUCCAAAAUUACACAAGCCUACUGCUAUUAUCUCUAUAAUUUCUCUACAGGUCUCUUACCUCUGUUCUCAGGAUGUUGUCUGUCAGCUACAAGAGACAUAAGCAUGCAGCUCAAUUGCUGUUGGUUGGGUCAGCAACACAGUGGUGUCAAGUGAAUAAAAAUAUAGCCAGUGUCUGAGACUUACAAAUGUAUACGCAAUAAUUCUCCUUCGAGACUCCAGGCUAUACCCACUCACCCCCAAGCUAGCUCUGCAUCCUCUCAUGCAUGCUAAUGAUUGAAUUAGUCAUAGAGGAUAAAAACAGAAAUAUGAAUGCAUAGAACUCAUCGCAACUCCUUGCCAUUUCAUUGACAAGAUGUAAGUCAGUAGUUUAAAAGAAUGAAUGACAUUCAUUCUAAGGGCUGAAUGGAGAUGACCAAGUAGUAAUACUUUCCCAUUGUUCCCUAAUUCAUGAAAAAAUACCUCCUUUUCCUCUGUCUUUGGAAUAGACCCAGAUUUGCCAGAAUAUGGAAGAAUGAGGAAGGAAGUUGGAGAGAAGAAGCCUAAGGUUGCCACUAGA